rnacentral:piRNA from 1 species
UAGACUUUCAGGUGCUCCCUACUUUC